UACGGGGGGGGCAAGCGUUGUUCGGAAUUACUGGGCGUAAAGGGCUCGUAGGCGGCCAACUAAGUCAGACGUGAAAUCCCUCGGCUUAACCGGGGAACUGCGUCUGAUACUGGAUGGCUCGAGUUUGGGAGAGGGAUGCGGAAUUCCAGGUGUAGCGGUGAAAUGCGUAGAGAUCCGGAGGAACCCCAGAGGCGAAGGCGGCAGCCUGGUUGGCUCCUGACGCUCGGACACGACAGCAUGGGGAGCGAACGGG
rnacentral:rRNA from 1 species